rnacentral:SRP_RNA from 1 species
GCCAGGUGUGGUGGUGCGCGCCUGUAGUCCGAGCUACUCGGGAGGCUGAGGCAGGAAGAUCGCUCAAGCCCAGGAGUUCUGGGCUGUAGUGCACUAUGCCAAUAGAGUGUCUGCACUAAGUUCAGCAGCUACAUGGUAACCUCCUGGGAGUAGGGGACCACCAGAUUGCCUAAGGGUGGGUGAACCAGCCCAGGUCAGAAACAGAGCAGGCCAAAACUCCCAUGCUAAUCUGUAGUGGAAUCACAUGUGUAAAUAGCCACUGCACUCCAGCCUGGGCAACACAGUGAAACCCUGUCUCU